rnacentral:rRNA from 1 species
CGGAGCUUGCUCCACCGGAAAAAGAGGAGUGGCGAACGGGUGAGUAACACGUGGGUAACCUGCCCAUCAGAAGGGGAUAACACUUGGAAACAGGUGCUAAUACCGUAUAACAAUCAAAACCGCAUGGUUUUGAUUUGAAAGGCGCUUUCGGGUGUCGCUGAUGGAUGGACCCGCGGUGCAUUAGCUAGUUGGUGAGGUAACGGCUCACCAAGGCCACGAUGCAUAGCCGACCUGAGAGGGUGAUCGGCCACAUUGGGACUGAGACACGGCCCAAACUCCUACGGGAGGCAGCAGUAGGGAAUCUUCGGCAAUGGACGAAAGUCUGACCGAGCAACGCCGCGUGAGUGAAGAAGGUUUUCGGAUCGUAAAACUCUGUUGUUAGAGAAGAACAAGGAUGAGAGUAACUGUUCAUCCCUUGACGGUAUCUAACCAGAAAGCCACGGCUAACUACGUGCCAGCAGCCGCGGUAAUACGUAGGUGGCAAGCGUUGUCCGGAUUUAUUGGGCGUAAAGCGAGCGCAGGCGGUUUCUUAAGUCUGAUGUGAAAGCCCCCGGCUCAACCGGGGAGGGUCAUUGGAAACUGGGAGACUUGAGUGCAGAAGAGGAGAGUGGAAUUCCAUGUGUAGCGGUGAAAUGCGUAGAUAUAUGGAGGAACACCAGUGGCGAAGGCGGCUCUCUGGUCUGUAACUGACGCUGAGGCUCGAAAGCGUGGGGAGCAAACAGGAUUAGAUACCCUGGUAGUCCACGCCGUAAACGAUGAGUGCUAAGUGUUGGAGGGUUUCCGCCCUUCAGUGCUGCAGCUA